rnacentral:rRNA from 1 species
GAUGAACGCUGGCGGCGUGCCUAAUACAUGCAAGUCGAGCGAACAGAUGAGGAGCUUGCUCCUCUGACGUUAGCGGCGGACGGGUGAGUAACACGUGGAUAACCUACCUAUAAGACUGGGAUAACUUCGGGAAACCGGAGCUAAUACCGGAUAAUAUAUUGAACCGCAUGGUUCAAUAGUGAAAGACGGUUUUGCUGUCACUUAUAGAUGGAUCCGCGCCGCAUUAGCUAGUUGGUAAGGUAACGGCUUACCAAGGCGACGAUGCGUAGCCGACCUGAGAGGGUGAUCGGCCAAACUGGAACUGAGACACGGUCCAGACUCCCACGGGAGGCAGGCGGAGGGAAGUUUCCGCAAUGGGCGAAAGCCUGACGGAGCAACGCCGCGUGAGUGAUGAAGGUCUUCGGAUCGUAAAACCCUGUUAUUAGGGAAGAACAAAUGUGUAAGUAACUAUGCACGUCUUGACGGUACCUAAUCAGAAAGCCACGGCUAACUACGUG